rnacentral:rRNA from 1 species
GGUUAAGCGACUAAGCGUACACGGUGGAUGCCCUGGCAGUCAGAGGCGAUGAAGGACGUGCUAAUCUGCGAAAAGCGUCGGUAAGGUGAUAUGAACCGUUAUAGCCGGCGAUGUCCGAAUGGGGAAACCCAGUGCAAUUCGUUGCACUAUCGUUAACUGAAUACAUAGGUUAACGAGGCGAACCGGGGGAACUGAAACAUCUAAGUACCCCGAGGAAAAGAAAUCAACCGAGAUUCCCCCAGUAGCGGCGAGCGAACGGGGAGCAGCCCAGAGUCUGAAUCAGCUUGUGUGUUAGUGGAACGGUCUGGAAAGUCCGACGGUACAGGGUGAUAGUCCCGUACACCAAAAUGCACAGGCUGUGAACUCGAAGAGUAGGGCGGGACACGUGGUAUCCUGUCUGAAUAUGGGGGGACCAUCCUCCAAGGCUAAAUACUCCUGACUGACCGAUAGUGAACCAGUACCGUGAGGGAAAGGCGAAAAGAACCCCGGCGAGGGGAGUGAAAAAGAACCUGAAACCGUGUACGUACAAGCAGUGGGAGCACCUUCGGGUGUGACUGCGUACCUUUUGUAUAAUGGGUCAGCGACUUAUAUUCUGUAGCAAGGUUAACCGUAUAGGGGAGCCGCAGGGAAACCGAGUCUUAACUGGGCGUUAAGUUGCAGGGUAUAGACCCGAAACCCGGUGAUCUAGCCAUGGGCAGGUUGAAGGUUGGGUAACACUAACUGGAGGACCGAACCGACUAAUGUUGAAAAAUUAGCGGAUGACUUGUGGCUGGGGGUGAAAGGCCAAUCAAACCGGGAGAUAGCUGGUUCUCCCCGAAAGCUAUUUAGGUAGCGCCUCGUGAACUCAUCUUCGGGGGUAGAGCACUGUUUCGGCUAGGGGUCAUCCCGACUUACCAACCCGAUGCAAACUACGAAUACCGAAGAAUGUUAUCACGGGAGACACACGGCGGGUGCUAACGUCCGUCGUGAAGAGGGAAACAACCCAGACCGCCAGCUAAGGUCCCAAAGUCAUGGUUAAGUGGGAAACGAUGUGGGAAGGCACAGACAGCCAGGAUGUUGGCUUAGAAGCAGCCAUCAUUUAAAGAAAGCGUAAUAGCUCACUGGUCGAGUCGGCCUGCGCGGAAGAUGUAACGGGGCUAAACCAUGCACCGAAGCUGCGGCAGCGACACUAUGUGUUGUUGGGUAGGGGAGCGUUCUGUAAGCCUGCGAAGGUGACCUGUGAGGGUUGCUGGAGGUAUCAGAAGUGCGAAUGCUGACAUAAGUAACGAUAAAGCGGGUGAAAAGCCCGCUCGCCGGAAGACCAAGGGUUCCUGUCCAACGUUAAUCGGGGCAGGGUGAGUCGACCCCUAAGGCGAGGCCGAAAGGCGUAGUCGAUGGGAAACAGGUUAAUAUUCCUGUACUUGGUGUUACUGCGAAGGGGGACGGAGAAGGCUAUGUUAGCCGGGCGACGGUUGUCCCGGUUUAAGCAUGUAGGCUGGUUGUCCAGGCAAAUCCGGAUAAUCAAGGCUGAGGUGUGAUGACGAGGUACUACGGUGCUGAAGUAACAAAUGCCCUGCUUCCAGGAAAAGCCUCUAAGCAUCAGGUAACAUCAAAUCGUACCCCAAACCGACACAGGUGGUCAGGUAGAGAAUACCAAGGCGCUUGAGAGAACUCGGGUGAAGGAACUAGGCAAAAUGGUGCCGUAACUUCGGGAGAAGGCACGCUGGUGUGUAGGUGAAGUCCCUGCGGAUGGAGCUGAGACCAGUCGAAGAUACCAGCUGGCUGCAACUGUUUAUUAAAAACACAGCACUGUGCAAACACGAAAGUGGACGUAUACGGUGUGACGCCUGCCCGGUGCCGGAAGGUUAAUUGAUGGGGUUAUCCGUAAGGAGAAGCUCUUGAUCGAAGCCCCGGUAAACGGCGGCCGUAACUAUAACGGUCCUAAGGUAGCGAAAUUCCUUGUCGGGUAAGUUCCGACCUGCACGAAUGGCGUAAUGAUGGCCAGGCUGUCUCCACCCGAGACUCAGUGAAAUUGAACUCGCUGUGAAGAUGCAGUGUACCCGCGGCAAGACGGAAAGACCCCGUGAACCUUUACUAUAGCUUGACACUGAACAUUGAGCCUUGAUGUGUAGGAUAGGUGGGAGGCUUUGAAGCGUGGACGCCAGUCUGCGUGGAGCCAACCUUGAAAUACCACCCUUUAAUGUUUGAUGUUCUAACGUUGGCCCCUGACCGGGGUUGCGGACAGUGUCUGGUGGGUAGUUUGACUGGGGCGGUCUCCUCCCAAAGCGUAACGGAGGAGCACGAAGGUUAGCUAAUCCUGGUCGGACAUCAGGAGGUUAGUGCAAUGGCAUAAGCUAGCUUGACUGCGAGCGUGACGGCGCGAGCAGGUGCGAAAGCAGGUCAUAGUGAUCCGGUGGUUCUGAAUGGAAGGGCCAUCGCUCAACGGAUAAAAGGUACUCCGGGGAUAACAGGCUGAUACCGCCCAAGAGUUCAUAUCGACGGCGGUGUUUGGCACCUCGAUGUCGGCUCAUCACAUCCUGGGGCUGAAGUAGGUCCCAAGGGUAUGGCUGUUCGCCAUUUAAAGUGGUACGCGAGCUGGGUUUAGAACGUCGUGAGACAGUUCGGUCCCUAUCUGCCGUGGGCGCUGGAGAAUUGAGGGGGGCUGCUCCUAGUACGAGAGGACCGGAGUGGACGCAUCACUGGUGUUCGGGUUGUCAUGCCAAUGGCACUGCCCGGUAGCUAAAUGCGGAAGAGAUAAGUGCUGAAAGCAUCUAAGCACGAAACUUGCCCCGAGAUGAGUUCUCCCUGAGACUUUAAGUCUCCUGAAGGAACGUUGAAGACGACGACGUUGAUAGGCCGGGUGUGUAAGCGCAGCGAUGCGUUGAGCUAACCGGUACUAAUGAACCGUGAGGCUUAACCUU